CUGCAGGACACAUUUGAACAUCGACAUUUCGAACGCACAUUGCGGUCCGUGGAGACACAUCCAAGACCACUCCUGUCUGAGGGCCGGCU
rnacentral:rRNA from 1 species